AUGACGGAGGAACUGGUGUUCGAUUCCAGGCAGAGGUAGAAUGAUACCGACGUUUCGGAGGAACUUUUUCCUCCCAUCUCCAUUAUAAGAGUAACCCGCGGGGAGAAAGCAAGAAACGAAACUGGGCUGCAAAAGGAACAACAUGAGAAGGCAAGGCCAAACGCUUGAUAAAAAAAGUGCAUCCCAGCUGCAAAACAGACGUUGGAUGGUGGGCGUGACCCUACAAGUGCAACCAGGGAAGGCAGACAAGACGAAAUGGCAUGUUGACGAGUAAUGGAGCAUAGACCAAGACAAUGUCCUGCCCCAGACUCGCCGAACCAGCCUUUGUUAUUGCAGAACUGAGACACUCAGAUUUGACGUUCUGGCAAACUAGAACUGUGAAAAGUAAAAUUUGCUGGUAAAUGGUGCUGUAUAAUUUGGUAGACGGCGACGGAGAUCUCGGAGUAGUGCAGUGCUUCUAUCUUCACGGUUGUAUAAGCGGAGCAAGCAAGCAACCAGUCAAGUAGGGGAAUCAGCACUGAAGUUCACCAAUUGAUACUAAGCUGAUUAUCUAGUAAUUCCAGCAACAAAGGCUCAAUUUGAAUAUUAUCAGCCCAACACCCCCGUGCUUCACGUGGACUUCUCUCCAAGCAGUUUCCAUACUAAAUUUCUAUAUGUUUGUAACUUCUAGGGUCAUCCAAAGGAAGCGUCUAACGUAAGUCUUUUAGAGUCUAAUAUCCCCAGAUCUUUUACGAUGAGGACGCUGUAACCUUGGGCUACAUCUGGGGGGUUCCUUAUCGGAUGUACGAGACUGCUUAUUCAGUGCACUUCCAAGCGCAUGCGUCCUUAAUAAGCUUCAUGGCACAGACUCUAGAAUAACUUUCAGUAAAACAUCGCUCAGUAUACAAAGAAAUAACUCAUCACGGAGGUAAUGAUGUAUUCCCGUGUGUACGAAAGUUCCUGAACUAUCGUUCUCAUGUUUAUGUGACCACAAAGAAUUUUAUCACGAUUUCAAAUAAAAUAAAUAAGGCGAAAUCUUCCUUGUAAAUAUAAGUAACUAGUCUGGAACCUAUUUCUUUGGAACAUAAAAAAUCACACUUAUUAAGCAGCAAAUUAUCGCUCAACACCGCGGCGUGUAGACUCGUUGCUGGGCAACGGUCAUAAAACGACGCCCGUUGCUGGAGCAGCGGAUUCUUAAUGAAGGUGUUACGCAACCUGUUACUGUGUAACGCGAACAUAUUCCCGCGGAAACGGUUAGAAUACGAGAAUGGGCGGUGUUUUCUAUGUAGUCCGUGCUGAGGAGUUACCUUGAAGAAAAUUGAGGCGGUCCAAGUUUGUUCAGUUUUGCACGAGAGGCUGUUAAGAUAGAACCUGAACGUAUGAAACUGAAGAAUCUCCACUAUUAGAAGCCGUUGUCAGGGAACAGCUGGUGAAAACAUACCAGGCUGGAAAAAGAUUAGUGGGUAGUGUGGGGAUUAGCGGUGGCGCUGUAACUAUUUCUACUUCCGGGUCGUAUGUAUAAGUGAUCGAUAAAUACAAUAUCUAAUCCCAAACCCCGUCGAAAGUUACCCUUGUAGUUUGUAGACACCUGAACAAAAGGAAUAGAGGCCAACAGCGAUUGUGAACGAGAGACCUAUCCUCUCGUAAGAGAGGAUGUUACAUGAGGACUAUAACCACGAGUGUUCGGUUAAAAAUAGUACUGGUCGUGGGUCUCAAGGGACUUGUCGCCAAGACGAACUGAUUGGCGGUAAACCACUAGUCGUAAGUAACUGUGACUCUGAAUCUUACGGACAUCUGGUAGCGCUCCUUUUGCGGGAGAUCAGCCCGUCGCAAGGCCUCUACCCAUACACUACAAUACAAACAGAAGAAACCUUGACAACUACACGUCGAGUGGCUUUGGAAUCCAAGAUCUCAGUUUGUAUGAUUUGAGAUUGCCAGAGCGGUGGUUAUGGGUUAAAACGCUGUUGAGUCCACUGAAAGUCAACCUACGUUUCGAUGUUUCUCCGAAACUUCGGUUCAAGAUCCUGGUGUUCGAGAGACGAAGACAGGACUUGUAGAUAUGGAGGCCACUGUCCUUUAUAUUUGCAUAGGAGUGUCACUCAACCUCUUACUUGAAACCAGCUUCAGAUGUGCCACCAAUAUGGCUCCAAGAAACAAAUAUUAGGGAGGAGUGGCCAAAGUGCGGUGGGAAACUGAAGAUCCACUCUUGCGUUACUGUAAAGUGCCAUUAAAAAUUAAGCUGUGGUGAGACUGUGUGGGCUGGAAGGAAACAUUCACACAUAGACAUACAGCUGAAGACGUGGGAUUGGCAGCAAAACUGAAGUGACCACGUAUUUCCCCAUUCAUUGGCGAUUCAGGAGAAGUAGGUCCUGUGUAGAAACGACAAGCAGACAAACCCGACUCUUGUUUAUCAAUACAACACUGAACUUUGGCAUCCCACACGGUUUACAACGAAGUCCUCAAUGGGAACUAAUAAUAAGAAAGCUGUCUUAGGGUACUUCGUCGACUUUUCGGGGGAAAGCCUACUGCCUACAUUUUCAGUGUAGAAGAACAAACAGCGUUUUACUUGCCUCGGUUGCUGGCUUACUCUUCGGCCCUGAAGAUGGGGGCAGUACGUUAUACCAGACACGACGAAGCAAACAGACGCUUUCGUAAUCGUUCCGAACGAGCCUAAAAUCGUUGCAGAAUAACUGCAAGUUGUAACGUAGGCCCUGUGCUGAGUCGAUUAAGUACAAGACCAUGAAGACCUGUGAGGGGAGUGGAGGUAUAGCUUCAGACCGGCCUCCUAUCCAAUGGGCAUUGAGGUUGUUUCCCCGUGGUAAAAGGGCCAGGAGCGUGAAGCUGGCCACUCAUCUCCAUCCAGUGCCGGGAUUAAGAAUAAUUGCGAGGAAUGGGAUAAAGGAAUCUGGUUCAGAAUAGGAUCGGUGGCGUGCUUUUGUUUUCACGGCAAUGGAGCUUGCGUUUCCAUGACGUAACUAAACGCUAACGAGCUGGAAAACAAUCAGCGAAAUCAUUCCGCAUGCUUCCUCACAUACGUCUGACUUUGUCUAUACCACUGAAAGUAAAAGCGUCUGUUGUCUGGUACAACAUUUCUAGUAGCGCAAUACCAAAAAACGACGAAAUUCGUCUGACCGACAAAGCCCGGUUCCGACAAAAUCAACAUUUCACGACUGGGGCCUUAGCGGUUGAGCCGCCAUCUUCGUGCACAUUCUCGUAUAUAUAGUUCUAUUUAUAGAGCAGGUCUCCAUACAUGACUGAAAUUUAGUCGAAAUCCUUAGAACCUAUCGAAAUGUGUAUGCAUAAAGUGCAACAAAUUCAAUCACCCAAUUCAAAAUCAUUCUUAUAAUCCCUUACGCGUGAAAACAUUCACCGGGAAUCGAGCUAUGACCGCUAAACUCUUAAAUACCAAUUGCAAAUAAAGGUAGCGAGGCGCGCAGGUGUCCUUCCAGCUAUUCAUACAGACGGCAUGCCGAAAACCACUAUUUUGUAUUCUGAGGGGCCCAAAACGUGUCAAUCCGUCAAAAUACCGCGAUGGCUUCAUUCACAUCCGCAGUAUUUUCUCGCAAAUAUACUGCGGAUGUGAGAAAGUGAGGGUACUCUGUCCCAUAGUGAAACUGAUGGCCUAAUAAUUUUUAAUCCUGAGAAAACUUAGAUGAAGUGGUACAGCGUUACAUACGUAGACCGUUUACGAUUGGUUGUUCUUGGAGUAAAAACUGCCCCCAUUCGUUAUACAACAUGUCAAGUCAGUCCUGAGUCAUGUCAACGUCCGGACUAGGAAUCCCUGAUACAGAUAAUUAUGUUAAACCUGUCUGGUAGAAGCGCCGGCAUCAACAAGGGUCACGGUCAAGGAGCGAUCGACAUCAGACAUAACACAAUUACACACCGAGGCAGCACUUGACCAUGAGAACAUACAGGGUGUUACAUUUAUGGGGAACAUGGAAAAUGCAUUGUGGCGUAUUUGCUUCAUGCAAGGCCGGUUGAGUCACAGAAACAGCAGGUUCUAAGUAAUACACGCAACAAUACAACAACGGGAUUAUGAAAUCCGUUUAUAGGCAACGGCUAGGUAAACACAUUUCCGCGUCUCGGACCGUGCUAUGCAAUGAGGCGACGUCAUCAACAAUACGUACUGUGUUUUCCUGAAGUCUGUGCAGAGUGUUUAUAAGAGAAGUAAAUUCAGAAGCUAGAAGGACGAGAAUGGAGCAUGUCCUUAGUGAAUUGUGAACUUGAAUACAGAUUAGGACAGAAAAGUAAAAGUAACUGAAGACAAGAAGAUUUUAUAGUUAUCUGAAGUGCUAGUUUCUGUUUGGAGAUCCGUU